AGCACAGCUUCGUUAAUUUAAGAAGACAGUGACAACCAGGCAAGCUAGUCCAAGCGCCUGAACCAAACUUUUACGAUAAAAGUCUCUAAAAUAGCAAAGGACAAUCCUGUAUCGUGUGGCAGAAGAAGCUGCAGACGAUGGGGCAUCUGUUUCCCUUGUGAGGCCGUUGACCUGCUGGAAGCUGGAGGACCAGGGGCAGCGUGAAGCCGAUCUCAGCGUCGAGGCCUUCCACAGCGGGCACAGGAUCGGGGACUGCAGGAGAGAGGGCCCAAGGACACGGUCACUGGAGCGCAGUGCCACACUGCUUCUGGUUACAGUGGCAGUUAACAGAUGAGAGAAAACAUCAUGUGUGACCUCUCCAGAGUUAGGCAGUGGGGUGCAUGAGGAUACAGUGAGUACUAAAGCCGAAAAUAUUUCAACUUUCUGUGCCUACUGCUAGCACAUCCAAUCAUGUGACAGUGAGAGGUGUCAAAUUUCUCUAAAGAUAGUAAGAAAAGUGCUUUUUGAGAAAUAUCUACAAGGUGUAUAGCUGUAUGUUGUCACUGCCUUAUCAAAUGUUUACUCUGUACAAAAGCAUGCAGUGCUUGAGGCUAACAUAUCCGUUUGCGCUUGUUUUUUACCUGAUGA